AUAAAGUUCCUUUGGGUAAGAAGUACUACUUGUCAUCAAAAUGGAUAAAAGGAGAUGUAUCUAGACGUAUUUUAGUUCUAGAUACAUCCCUUUUUAUCCAUUUUGAUGACAAGUAUUUUUAGACGGAGGGAGCUUAUA
rfam:Triticum aestivum genome assembly, contig: Triticum_aestivum_CS42_TGACv1_scaffold_577162_7BL